rnacentral:rRNA from 2 species
GGGACACGUGGUAUCCUGUCUGAAUAUGGGGGGACCAUCCUCCAAGGCUAAAUACUCCUGACUGACCGAUAGUGAACCAGUACCGUGAGGGAAAGGCGAAAAGAACCCCGGCGAGGGGAGUGAAAAAGAACCUGAAACCGUGUACGUACAAGCAGUGGGAGCACGCUUAGGCGUGUGACUGCGUACCUUUUGUAUAAUGGGUCAGCGACUUAUAUUCUGUAGCAAGGUUAACCGAAUAGGGGAGCCGAAGGGAAACCGAGUCUUAACUGGGCGUUAAGUUGCAGGGUAUAGACCCGAAACCCGGUGAUCUAGCCAUGGGCAGGUUGAAGGUUGGGUAACACUAACUGGAGGACCGAACCGACUAAUGUUGAAAAAUUAGCGGAUGACUUGUGGCUGGGGGUGAAAGGCCAAUCAAACCGGGAGAUAGCUGGUUCUCCCCGAAAGCUAUUUAGGUAGCGCCUCGUGAAUUCAUCUCCGGGGGUAGAGCACUGUUUCGGCAAGGGGGUCAUCCCGAC